UACGUAGGGUGCAAGCGUUAAUCGGAAUUACUGGGCGUAAAGCGCGCGCAGGCGGUGGUGUAAGACAGGUGUGAAAUCCCCGGGCUUAACCUGGGAACUGCAUUUGUGACUGCAUCGCUGGAGUGCGGCAGAGGGGGAUGGAAUUCCGCGUGUAGCAGUGAAAUGCGUAGAUAUGCGGAGGAACACCGAUGGCGAAGGCAAUCCCCUGGGCCUGCACUGACGCUCAUGCACGAAAGCGUGGGGAGCAAACAGG
rnacentral:rRNA from 1 species